AUUUUUCUGACUCUGGGCUGUAUUUGUGUGGAUUUUUCAUAGAGGGACAGACAAUUUUAAGUGUGAUACAUUUAAAUGUUGAAGGCAGUGAUGAAUCUCAUGAUGACGCUGACAGAAAGUCUACAAAGAGUGAUAGAAUACCAAACCUGAUGAGUGUGAUCCUGGGCGGCCUGACUGUUUUCCUCAUAAUGGUCAUCAUCUGUCUGGUUGUUAAAAACAGGAAACUUCAAAAAGCUGCCAACAAAGAACAGAAUCCACAACAGCAUGAGAAUCUGGACUCUGAUGACCUGAAAGCACUGAGUUUGUAUUCAACAACAAUAAGAAACAGGAGGCCUGCAUCAGAGAGAGAAGUGGAAACUCAUGUUGUU